rnacentral:lncRNA from 1 species
GACGACCUUCUCCCCCUUUCUUUUCGUGGUACUUGAGAAUUGGCACAUGCAGCCAAAGUGGGAUUUUGAGAACUGAUACUGGUAGUCAGUAUUGUGAGUAAAGAAUUGGCACAAGUAGUCAUAUUGUGGGAAUUCGAGAACUGACACUGGUAGUCAGUAUUGUGGGUGUAUUCGAGAAUGAUUCUUACAGUGCAAUAAGAAAUCGUAUAACAAAGAACUGAGCUGGUUUAUCCUGGGGACAGCAUGGUUGAUAGUCUGCUUGCACAAUUUUAGAAGUACCACGAAACAUCUUAAAGAGAGCGACCUGGUCUUGACUCAUCCAAUAAAGAUUAUCUCGUGCUAUUCAGAAUUGUUGUGAGCUACGCAAACAACACAUUCAACUC